CCUACGGGUGGCAGCAGUGAGGAAUAUUGGUCAAUGGACGAGAGUCUGAACCAGCCAAGUAGCGUGAAGGAUGAAUGCCCUAUGGGUUGUAAACUUCUUUUAUAUGGGAAUAAAAUGUUCCACGUGUGGGAUUUUGUAUGUACCAUAUGAAUAAGGAUCGGCUAACUCCGUGCCAGCAGCCUCGGUAAUACGGAGGAUCCGAGCGUUAUCCGGAUUUAUUGGGUUUAAAGGGAGCGUAGGUGGAUUGUUAAGUCAGUUGUGAAAGUUUGCGGCUCAACCGUAAAAUUGCAGUUGAAACUGGCAGUCUUGAGUACAGUAGAGGUGGGCGGAAUUCGUGGUGUAGCGGUGAAAUGCUUAGAUAUCACGAAGAACUCCGAUUGCGAAGGCAGUUCACUGGACUGCAACUGACACUGAGGCUCGAAAGUGUGGGUAUCAAACAGGAUUAGAUACCCUUGUAGUC
rnacentral:rRNA from 1 species